rnacentral:rRNA from 1 species
GUGGGGCGAGGCGUCGUACAUGUAAAUAAUCAGGCGUCAAAGCGCGGGGCAGGCGGUUCUUUAAGUCUGGUGAUUUAAACAUGGGGCUCAACUUCAGGUCGCACUGGAAACUGGGGAACUUGAGUGCAGCAGAGGAGAGUGGAAUACCCCCUGUAGCGGUGAAAUGCGUAGAUAUGUGGAGGAACACCAGUGGUGAAGGCGACUCUCUGGGCCGUAACUGACGCUGAGGCGCGAAAGCAUGGGGAGCAAACAGGAUUAGAUACCCUGGUAGUCCACGCCGUAAUCGACGAAUGCUAGGUGUUAGGGGUUUUGAUACCCUUGGUGCCGAAGUUAACACAUUAAGCAUUCCGCCUGGGGAGUACGGUCGCAAGACUGAAACUCAACGGAAUAGACGAGGACCCGCACAAGCAGUGGAGUAUGUGGUUUAAUUAGAAGCAACGCGAAGAACCUUAUCAAGUCGUGACAUCCCUCUGAAUAUGCUAGAGAUAGCAGCGGCCUUCGGGACAGAGGAGACAGGUGGUGCAUGGUGGUCGUCAGCUCGUGUCGUGAGAUGUUGGGUUAAGUCCCGCAACGAGCGCAACCCUUGAUUUUAGUUGCCAGCAGGUAAGGCUGGGCACUCUAGAAUGACUGCCGGUGACAAACCGGAGGAAGGCGGGGAUGACGUCAAAUCAUCAUGCCCCUUAUGACUUGGGCUACACACGUACUACAAUGGCUGGUACAACGGGAAGCGAAGCCGCGAGGUGGAGCCAAUCCUAUAAAAGCCAGUCUCAGUUCGGAUUGCAGGCUGCAACUCGCCUGCAUGAAGUCGGAAUUGCUAGUAAUCGCGGAUCAGCAUGCCGCGGUGAAUACGUUCCCGGGUCUUGUACACACCGCCCGUCACACCACGAGAGAUACAUCAUUUGAAGUCGGUGGGGUA